GUAAGGAACGCCAACGGCGAAGGCGGGCACCUGGGCAGGAGGAGACGCUGAGGAACGAAAGCUAGGGGAGCGAACCGGAUUAGAGACCCGGGUAGUCCUAGCCCUAAACGAUGCUCGCUAGUUGCAUUUCUUUUAGUUUAUCUUUAAGGGGUGUGGCGAAGCUAACGCGUUAAGCGAGCCGCCUGGGGAGUACGGCCGCAAGGCUGAAACUCAAAGGAAUUGGCGGGGAGAUACACAACCAGUGGAACAUGUGGUUUAAUUCGAGACAAACCGAAGCACCUCACCAGGGCUUGACAUGCAACUGCAAGCUUAGGGAAACCUAGGCCGCCUUAGAGGGUGUUGCACAGCUGUUGCAUGGCUGUCGUCAGUUCGUUCCGUGAGGAGUGCCCUUAAGUGGGACAACGAACGUAACCUUCGCCCUAUGUUAAAUCUGUCAUAGGGGACUGCCUUCGCUAUGCGGGGGAGGAAGGAGAAGCAGACGUCAAGUCAGCAUGACGCUUAUGCUCUGGGCGACACACAUGUUACAAUGAGGCCGACAAAGAGUUGCGAAACGGCGACGUGAAGCUAAUCUCAUAAACGGUCUCUCAGUGGGGAUUGAAGUCUGCAACUCGACUUCAUGAACGCGGAAUUGGUAGUAAUCGCAGAUCAGCCAAGCUGCGGUGAAUACGUUCUUAUCUCUUGCACACACUGCCCGUCAAGCCAACAAAGUCGGUAGUGCCUGAAGGCUCUGUUAAAGGGACGAAGGUAAGAUCGGCGAUGGGGACUAAGUCGUAACAAGGUACCCGUUCUGGAAGGAGCGGGUG
rnacentral:rRNA from 1 species